rnacentral:rRNA from 1 species
UACGUAGGGUGCGAGCGUUGUCCGGAAUUAUUGGGCGUAAAGAGCUUGUAGGCGGUUUGUCGCGUCUGCCGUGAAAGCCCAGGGCUUAACCCUGGGUCUGCGGUGGGUACGGGCAGACUAGAGUGUGGUAGGGGAGACUGGAAUUCCUGGUGUAGCGGUGAAAUGCGCAGAUAUCAGGAGGAACACCGAUGGCGAAGGCAGGUCUCUGGGCCGCUACUGACGCUGAGAAGCGAAAGCAUGGGGAGCAAACAGG